rnacentral:rRNA from 1 species
ACCCGCUGAACUUAAGCAUAUCAAUAAGCGGAGGAAAAGAAACUAACAAGGAUUCCCCUAGUAACUGCGAGUGAAGCGGGAAAAGCUCAAAUUUAAAAUCUGGCAGUCUUUGGCUGUCCCGAGUUGUAAUUUAGAGAAGCGUCUUCCGCGUUGGGCCGUGCACAAGUCUCCUGGAAUGGAGCCUCAUAGAGGGUGAGAAUCCCGUCUUUGGCACGGAUGUCUAAUGCUUCUGUGAUGCGCUCUCAAAGAGUCGAGUUGUUUGGGAAUGCAGCUCAAAAUGGGUGGUGAACUCCAUCUAAAGCUAAAUAUUGGCGAGAGACCGAUAGCGAACAAGUACCGUGAGGGAAAGAUGAAAAGCACUUUGGAAAGAGAGUGAAACAGUACGUGAAAUUGUUGAAAGGGAAACGCUUCAAGUCAGUCGCGUCGACCGAGACUCAGCCUCGCCUCGGCUUGGUGUACUUCUCGGCUUGACGGGCCAGCAUCAAUUUUGUCCCUCGGAUAAUGGCAAAAGAAAGGUGGCACCCUUACGGGUGUGUUAUAGUCUUUUGUCGCAUGCGAGGGGUGGGAUUGAGGACCUCAGCACGCACCUCUUGGUGUCGGGGCUUCGGCCCACG